rnacentral:misc_RNA from 1 species
AAAAAUCUCGUUAAAAGCUUCUCCCUAUCAUGGGGAAUGACAAAAGUCAGGUAGGAUUUGGUCUCCUCUGCUGGCAUUACAUCCAAAUGAUAUUUGAAAAACUGCUUUACAUCCUCGUGUUGAUUGGAAAGAUCCACGGAUGCAUUUGGAGGAGAUUGUUCAGCAUUGCUUUCAAUAAAGCUCACAUUAGUGAUGAAACCGGUACCGAAUCUCGACUUCAACCUGAUUGAUGUUCCGAUGCAUCGGAGCCUACCCUUGGCCAUAAUUCCUAUGCGAUCACUUAGAAUGUCAGCUUCUUCCAUUGAAUGUGUUGUCAGGACAAUGGAACGACCUUUCUUUGCAUUCUGUAUUAUAUCCCAGACAUGUCUUCUCGAUAUUGGAUCCAUACCAGUAGUCGGUUCGUCUAGAAUGACCAACUUUGGGUUCCCAAUAAGUGCUAUUGCAACACUGAGCCGGCGUCUCAUUCCUCCACUGUAACUCCUGGUUCUCACUUUAGCUGCCUCAGUGAGUCUUACCUCUGCUAAUGAUUCCUCAGCAACCAAAUUUAUUGAAUCUGGGGGUAGGCCUUUAAUGCUAGCAAAGAGAUGGAGAUGCUCUGCACCAGAUAAUGCAUCCCAAAGGAUGUCAAACUGGGGACAAACUCCUAUGAUUCUUCGAAUGUUGGACAUGCCAACAGGGCUCCGAAUGGAAUAUCCAUAAAUCAAAGCAUCUCCACUGGUCACAGGUGUUAAGCCUGUCAAACAAUUGAUUGCGGUAGUUUUUCCAGCGCCAUUUGGUCCAAGGAGACAAAAUAACUGAUCCUUUGCAAAGUUCAUCCAUAAGCCCUUGAGAGCAUGGUAAGGUGAAGUUUUCUUGCAUUUACAACAACCAAUCUUCGUAGUCCCAGCAUAUACCUUUGCAAGUCCACGUACCUGAACUGCAACCUCUGGAUUGACUAAGCCAUCUUUUGCUUCUUGUUUAACAAUAUUUUCCUCUUCAAGCACAUCCUCAUCUUCUGGAGUAAUAUGCUCUUGUUGUGGGACUGAACCCAUGCAACUACAAAUGCCACCCUCUUCCACUCUAUUUCCACCUUUUCCAGUCCAAUACCCAGGCUUUAAGAAAUAAAAU